GCGCUGCCGCAGUGUGUGCGCCGAGCCGCCGCUGCUGCCGGCCGCGGGAGCGCCCCGGGGCUUCGGUCCUGCCGCCCUCGCUGCGAUGUGAGGCUCGGGGACAGCGUCGGCUGCCGAAGGCUUUAGUUGUUACAUGCGCCCAAUAAUCUUCUCCAAAAUGGAUUUUAGUCAUAGCAGUCUUUUUGGAUACAUAGAAGACCUGCAGGAACUAACUAUUAUAGAGAGGCCAGUACGCAGGAGCCUGAAGACACCAGAAGAAAUAGAAAGAUUGACAGUUGAUGAAGAACUCAGUGAUAUUGAAAGGGCUCUUUUUCUACUCAGUUCUGGCCAGGAUAUCCAAGGAACAAGUGUGGUGGCAAAUCUUCCAGUCCUUAUGAGACAGAAUCCUGCAGAAACACUUCGUCGGGUUUUACCAAAAAUCAGGGAGGUUCUGCAUGUUGCAGGAGUGGAAAUGCAGUUAACAGCUGCUGUUUCUUUUUUGACUGUUCUGCAAGAGGAGUCGGUGUCCAUUCAUACGUACUCCCACUCCUUCCUACACAUCAUUCUCCAGAACCUGGAACACAGAGAUGCAGGUGUCAGCAAUGCAUGGUUAGAAACUCUUCUUGCUGUAAUAGAAGCUUUACCAAAAGAAACUGUCAGACAUGAGAUCCUGAAUCCACUUGUUUCCAAAGCACAGCUUUCUCAAACACUUCAGUCCCGCUUAGUUAGUUGUAAAAUCAUGGGAAAAGUAGCUAACAAAUUUGAAGCUCAUAUUAUUAAAAGAGAGGUUCUUCCAUUGGUAAAAUCACUGUGCCAGGAUGUGGAAUAUGAAGUUAGAACUUGCAUGUGUCGACAACUGGAACAUGUAGCUCGAGGAAUAGGGACAGAUCUAACAAAAACCGUGGUGCUUCCUGAGUUGGUGGAACUGGCCAGAGAUGAGGGCAGCAGUGUACGCCUGGCAGCUUUUGAGACUUUAGUGAAUCUCCUCGAUAUGUUUGAUGCAGAUGAUCGGAGUCAAACUGUUCUCCCAUUAGUGAAAUCAUUCUGUGAAAAAUCCUUCAAAGCAGAUGAAUCUAUCAUAGUUUCUUUAUCUUUCCAUUUAGGGAAACUGUGUAAUGGAUUAUAUGGCAUUUUUACUCCUGAACAGCACUUGCGGUUUUUGGAAUUUUAUAAGAAACUUUCCACACUGGGUUUACAGCAGGAAAAUGGGCAUAAUGAUAAUCAACUACAUCUGCAAACUCUGGAACAGGAAAAGAAGUAUAUUUCAGUGAGGAAGAACUGUGCUUACAAUUUUCCAGCCAUGAUUGUUUUUGUGGAUCCAAAGAACUUCCAUUUAGAACUUUAUUCUAUAUUCUUCUGCCUUUGUCAUGACCCCGAAGUUUCUGUCAGAUAUACCAUGGCCAUAAGCUUCUUUGAAGUUGCUAAGCUUUUAAAUUCUGAUGUGUAUACAAUACAUAAAGAACUGGUUACGCUAUUACAGGAUGAGUCACUGGAGGUAUUAGAUGCCCUAGUAGGUCACCUUCCUGAAAUCCUUGAACUAAUGACUAAUGGAGGAGAAAACAAUGGAUCAGAAAGCAAGUUACUUUCUAUUCCUGACUUGAUUCCUGCAUUAACAACAGCAGAACAGAGAGCAGCAACUUCUUUAAAAUGGAGAACGCAUGAGAAGUUACUACAAAAAUAUGCAUGUCUCCCUCAUAUCAUAUCAAGUGAUCAGAUCUAUUACCGUUUUAUUCAAAGGAUGUUGACAAUCAUUUUGACAAAUAAUGUCCUGCCAGUCCAAAAAGCAGCUGCUCGGACUCUCUGCGUUUAUUUGCGCUACAAUCGCAAACAGGAACAGAGACAUGAGGUUAUCCAGAAACUGAUCGAACAAUUGGGUCAAGGAAAAAGUUACUGGAACAGACUUCGGUUUUUAGAUACUUGUGAAUUCAUUAUGGAACUGUUUUCAAAAUCAUUCUUCUGUAAAUACUUCUUUUUACCUGUGCUUGAACUUACACAUGACCCAGUGGCAAAUGUCAGAAUGAAGCUAUGCUGUUUGUUGCCAAAAGUAAAAUCUACUCUGAAGAUUCCCACUGAUAAACAUUUACUUCAGCAGCUGGAAUUAUGUAUAAGGAAACUUCUCUGUCAAGAGAAAGACAAAGAUGUCCUGACUAUUGUGAAAAGAACGGUGUUAGAAUUGGACAGAAUGGAGAUCUCUGUAGAUGCUUUUCAGAAAAGGUUUUAUGAAAAUGAUUUGUUGGAUCAAAAAAAAGAGAGACAAGAACAUCUCCUUUUGGAAAUGGAACAAUUAGAAAAAGAGAAACAGAAAAAUGAAGGAAGGUCUGCAAAUAUUAAUGAUAAAAUGUUUGAAAAGAAGCGUAGAGACAGUAAAACAUCAUCAGUGUUGGCAAAAAGUAUCAAUCUCUCUAUUUCUGGAAGCUCUUCUGGUACAUCAGCAGGCAAAGAAGAAAAAAAAUCCAAGCUGGUUCGAAGCCAAUCUUUCAGUACUCAAGUACUGCAUCCAAAAUACAGCAACAUAGACAAGUGUCCUAAUAAAAGUUCUGCUACAGGAUAUACAUCUUCAAUACCAGGAAUGGGAAAGAGUUGUAUGUUAUCCUUUAGUGAUGAUUCAUUCCGGACUCAUUGUGCUGGUAACAGUGGGAAUGCUGCCUUCCCUUCUAGCUGUUCUCGCAACUUGUUUAACUCAGCCAACCAAAAGAACAACGGCAAUAAGGAGGGUCAGUCCCGAAAGAUGAGCCUAAUGAACUCAAGCUUGCACAGUGACCUAUAGUUUUUAAAACUGCUUUUAUAACGUCGAGAAGGUUGGAAGGAAAGUUGUGAACGCAGAUGGACUGUUUGUGUUGAGAGGGAUAGUAAAAGGCUCACACAGAGCAGUUUGCACUUUUGUCUUCAGGCAGGAGAAUGGAAUGUAAGAAACACAGCUUCAAGUCUCUAUGUACCAUUCCCAAAUGAAUACCUUAAGAGCAGAGUAUUUGAAAACUGUAUCAUCAUGCAGGUUUAUGUAUUUGCUGAUUAAAAUUUGCACUGACCAUCUCAAUUCUGGAAAGACCUAGCCUUUAGUUUGCUGACUCUGCAACUUGAGUAAGCAAAAACAGAAAAUCAAACUCCUAGAUCAUCUGACAGAAAAAUGAGGGAACCAGAGAGUGGAGGAAACAACAUUCUGAUGGGAUAAGGUGGGAGCAGCAGAUGGGACUCUCUAGUGCCUGCACUGAAUAAAAUGCAUCCUGCAAUGAUAAAGUUUAAAAUAAAUCUUUUAAAUAAAAUUCCAAGCUGUAAAAUAUGUUCUGAUAAACAAUGUAAUGGUUGCAGAAUUUUAACAUUGUAGUGAAAUGAUAUGAAAUAUAACUUCAGCUAUGUGCUCUUAACUGCUGCAGCUAAGGAGAAGAUUUUGUUUUCUUCAGUUAUGCCUUUGUAGUUUGAAGUCUUGGAUUUCGAAUGCACAUACCCAUUAUUGAAUUGGCUUAUUUACAACCUUAGCAACUCUUAGCUCCCAUAUUUUAAGAAAGAAUUGUUAUAUGAAAAAGUAAUCUCACAUUUUUAAGAAUCUGCAAACCUAAUUUAAGACCAAAGUCCAGAACCUUUGAUCAGUCUAUAAAAAAGCAGACUUUUGAAGCAUUGUGCUGUGAAUUUGGAAUUAAUGUUUUUACAAGUAGUAAGUUCAUAAAAAUUCUGUGUAAGUUUCAAAGAAAUCUAAAAGCAAAUAUCUCCAGAUGUUGUAAAAAAAAGUUUUAUUUCAUAAGUUUUAUUUUAUAAAUACUUGUUUUAAUUUUGGUAUUUCAAAUUGUAUUUUCACUUUAAUAAUUUCUAAUAAUGAAUCUAGGUUUUAAUCAGCUGCUAUUGCAAGCUGUCAUGGUUCAGUGAUGUCAUCUGCAUUUGUUUGUAUCAAUGCUAGUAUUUCUAUCAAAAUUUAUGUGGAAAAACAUGCAAUCAUAUUUUGAAAAGUUCUAUUUAUGCCAAUACUUGAGAGAGAGAUUAUGAAGCUAUUGUCAGCUUCUCUUUCAAAAUGGAGGCAGCAUAAAUAUAUUGAUAUCAGAAACAUAUGGUUUUUAAAAUUUAUUGGUGUAUGAUAAAGAUGAUCUGGUCUGUGUAUGCAUCUGUGUGUGUGGUUACCUUUUAUAAUGUAAAAACAUGAAUGAUGAUUUACUCGAAAUAAAACCUAGGACAAUGCUGUACAUGCAUGUUCUUGAAAAAAAAAUUCUCAGGGCAUCUUUUUAAUUAAAAUAAAUAAAAGCACUUAUCUAUGAAGGGUAUUUAUUUAAAACAGAAAUAAUGCUGGAUUGCUUGAAGUACAAAAUGUUUCUUUGGAUUAAGCACUGUCUGAAUUCUUAAGCUUCCUACACCACAGUUGGGUUUAGCUGUAUUCUCUGUCUUAAGUCGUAGGCAUUGUUGAGGUUCUGUGGAAAUACUUAAUUUUUCAGUUUGUUCUGCAGCCUGGCAGAGGAUCUUUUAAACCACGAAUUUCUUUAAAAGCUUAUUCAAGUUUCAUGGUGUUUAACAUUCAGUAUUGAUAUUGGUGCACAGAUGACGUGGGCUGGGUUGUUUUCUUGGUUCAUUAAUGCAAGCAGAUAGUCCCAGUUCCCCAGGCACAGCUGACUCAAGUGCCAGCUCCAGCUGCUCCCCUGGGGGCCACAGGAAACUUGUCAGUCUGUCCUGACCUUUGACAGGGACCAAACUCAGAGCAUGAGCAGCUGGCUGUACAACAGGACUCAAAACUGUGUUUGCCCUUUCAAUGCCUUUACCAGAGUGUUGGGGGUUAGAGCAAUGCAGAACAACCAGGAAGUUCAGAGAUUUGAAGCUCUUUCUCCCCUUAAUAAGCAUGUAAUGAGUUCUGUAAACAGUCUGUCUUUUGUUCCUUCUUGGCUUUCCCUGUCUGUCAUUUUAAACUGAUUAAUUUAUUUAAUGCUGAUAAUGCGUGCUCUACCCAAUAACCCAAAAUUCCUUUGAUGCAAUCCUUAAAUGCUCUAGAUCAGUUUUUGAACUGGACACUUUCCUUGUAAAAUUCCUCUGGUGUCUUGUGCAUGAUUUCAUCAGUCCUUUGCCCUACAGACCUCCAUCCAAGCAAUCUUUUUCGGGGUCACUUACUUCUGGGUUAGUUCUGUUAAACAGCACCAAUGCAUUUGGACCAUUCAGAGCACUGCUUAUACCUGCUGGUCAGCUGUAGCUCUGGAAAAACAGCUGAAGGUCAACUGUGCAGUGGAAUUUCUUGGUUUUCAUACAGACCAGUGGCAGGAAGGAGUGAUUCUCUUUCUGGGUACAUUUGUAAUGCAGUCCAGAGUAAGGUUAGAUGCACCUUCAUAGUCAGAUAGCAGAGCCUGCCUCCUAAGUCCUUCUGUGAGUGGUUUACAUCAGUGUCUGGGCUGCUGUGGGCAGACAACAAAUGGUAACUGAGGUGAUUUUUAGAGAUUUACCAGCUUUGUCCUAUAAUGUAUCUUUUGUAUCUUCUCUAGCAGAUGUAUCUAUGUGUGUUAACUGAUAGACACCUGUGAAGUUCCUUGCCAAAUGAUUUUGAAAAGUCUUCUGCUCCUUUCUGGGCAAUUAUUUUGUGAAGGUUGUAUGAGCAAGCAGAAGAACGCUGGGAUCUGUUAGUUGCAUAAACCUGGAAGCAGCUUUUUCAUUGUUUCGUACUUUAUACAUAGGACUCUGCUAAUUAAAAUCUAUUAAAUGUUAAGACCUUGUCAUUCUCUUGGAAGCACUGCUCUACUUGAAUAAAGGAAAUUGUGUUUAGAUCAUGGAAA